GACGAACGCUGGCGGCGUGCUUAACACAUGCAAGUCGAACGGAAAGGCCCUGCUUUUGUGGGGUGCUCGAGUGGCGAACGGGUGAGUAACACGUGAGUAACCUGCCCUUGACUUUGGGAUAACUUCAGGAAACUGGGGCUAAUACCGGAUAGGAGCUCCUGCUGCAUGGUGGGGGUUGGAAAGUUUCGGCGGUUGGGGAUGGACUCGCGGCUUAUCAGCUUGUUGGUGGGGUAGUGGCUUACCAAGGCUUUGACGGGUAGCCGGCCUGAGAGGGUGACCGGCCACAGUGGGACUGAGAUACGGCCCGGACUCCUACGGGAGGCAGCAGUGGGGAAUAUUGCACAAUGGGCGGAAGCCUGAUGCAGCAACGCCGCGUGAGGGAGGACGGCCUUCGGGGUGUAAACCGCUUUCGCCUGGGACGAAGCGUGAGUGACGGGAAGGGGUAAAGAAGCACCGGCUAACUACG
rnacentral:rRNA from 1 species